rnacentral:rRNA from 1 species
GUUCUCCCCGAAAUAGCUUUAGGGCUAGCCUCGGAAUUAGAGUCUUGGAGGUAGAGCACUGAUUGGGCUAGGGGCCCUCAUCGGGUUACCGAACUCAGUCAAACUCCGAAUGCCAAUGACUUAUGUCCGGGAGUCAGACGGUGAGUGCUAAGAUCCAUCGUCAAAAGGGAAACAGCCCAGACCAUCAGCUAAGGUCCCCAAGUAUACGUUAAGUGGGAAACGAUGUGGAGUUGCCCAGACAACCAGGAUGUUGGCUUAGAAGCAGCCACCAUUUAAAGAGUGCGUAAUAGCUCACUGGUCGAGUGACUCUGCGCGGAAAAUGUAACGGGGCUAAACGUAUCACCGAAGCUAUGGCAGUCCUUACGGACUGGGUAGGGGAGCGUUCCAAGCAGCAGUGAAGCCGUACUGGAAAGAGCGGUGGAGCGCUUGGAAGUGAGAAUGCCGGUGUAAGUAGCGAAAAGACAAGUGAGAAUCUUGUCCACCGAAAGCCUAAGGGUUCCUGGGGAAGGCUCGUCCUCCCAGGGUUAGUCGGGACCUAAGCUGAGGCCGAAAGGCGUAGGCGAUGGACAACAGGUUGAUAUUCCUGUACCACCUCUGUUCCGCUUGAGCAAUGGCGUGACGCAGGAGGAUAGGGUGAGCGGCCUACUGGAUGGCCGUCCAAGCAGCAAGCCUGGUGUGUAGGCAAAUCCGCACACCGUAAGGGCAAGCUGUGAUGGCGAGGGAAAUAUAAGUACCGAAGUCCCUGAUUUCACACUGCCAAGAAAAGCGUCUAGCGAGGAACAAGGUGCCCGUACCGCAAACCGACACAGGUAGGCGAGGAGAGAAUCCUAAGGUGCGCGGGAUAACUCUUGCUAAGGAACUCGGCAAAAUGGCCCCGUAACUUCGGGAGAAGGGGCGCCUCGGUAGGGUUAAUAGCCCGAGGGGGCCGCAGUGAAAAGGCCCAAGCGACUGUUUAGCAAAAACACAGGUCUCUGCGAAGCCGCAAGGCGAAGUAUAGGGGCUGACGCCUGCCCGGUGCUGGAAGGUUAAGGGGAUGGGUUAGCGCAAGCGAAGCUUUGAACCGAAGCCCCAGUAAACGGCGGCCGUAACUAUAACGGUCCUAAGGUAGCGAAAUUCCUUGUCGGGUAAGUUCCGACCCGCACGAAAGGCGUAACGACUUGGGCGCUGUCUCGGCAAGAGACCCGGUGAAAUCAUAAUACCUGUGAAGAUGCAGGUUACCCGCGACAAGACGGAAAGACCCCAUGGAGCUUUACUGUAGCCUGGUAUUGGAACUUUGUGCAUCAUGUACAGGAUAGGUGGGAAGCUGAGAAGCAGGGGCGCCAGCCUCUGUGGAGCUGUCGGUGGGAUACCACCCUUGAUGUACGGAGUUUCUAACUCGUCGCCCUUAUCGGGCGAGAGGACCAUGCCAGGUGGGCAGUUUGACUGGGGCGGUCGCCUCCCAAAAGGUAACGGAGGCGCCCAAAGGUUCCCUCAGAAUGGUCGGAAAUCAUUCGUAGAGUGUAAAGGCAGAAGGGAGCUUGACUGCGAGACCUACAAGUCGAGCAGGGACGAAAGUCGGGCUUAGUGAUCCGGUGGUUCCGCAUGGAAGGGCCAUCGCUCAACGGAUAAAAGCUACCCUGGGGAUAACAGGCUUAUCUCCCCCAAGAGUCCACAUCGACGGGGAGGUUUGGCACCUCGAUGUCGGCUCAUCGCAUCCUGGGGCUGAAGUAGGUCCCAAGGGUUGGGCUGUUCGCCCAUUAAAGCGGUACGCGAGCUGGGUUCAGAACGUCGUGAGACAGUUCGGUCCCUAUCUGUCGCGGGCGUAGGAAGUUUGAGGAGAGCUGUCCUUAGUACGAGAGGACCGGGAUGGACGCACCGCUGGUGCACCAGUUGUCACGCCAGUGGCACAGCUGGGUAGCUAUGUGCGGACGGGAUAAGCGCUGAAAGCAUCUAAGCGUGAAGCCCCCUCCAAGAUGAGACUUCCCACAGCGCAAGCUGGUAAGACCCCUCAUAGACGAUGAGGUUGAUAGGUUCGGUGUGGAAGCGUGGUAACACGUGGAGCUGACGAAUACUAAUCGGUCGAGGACUUAUCCACA